rnacentral:lncRNA from 1 species
CCCCCAUAUAUUAGAAUAAUUGUCAUUAGAUCGCUUAUGCUGCAGACAGGGUCACUGUUUAUCAUUACUGCUGUGAAACCCGCUACAAUUGGAAGAGAAAAUGAUCUAGGGCAUACCCUUUGAUUCCCAUAAGUUGGUGUCAGUAGGUUUCAUGCAGAAAUUUAUUUUGACCAUGAUUUACAAAGUUACGUCCUUCUAGAUCAAGGCAGUCAAAAUUGAACAACUGUUCAUGGAAAAUGAAUUGUUCAGCUGAAAACUAAAUGAGACCCUUAUGUACGUGAGCAUAGACAUAAAUUUAAAAUUGGAGAGACUGUGUCACCCUUUCACAUUCACCCUGGCAGUGAUAGCUGUGAUGGCUGUGAACCAUGGCAGGUUAGAACUCACUUUUGCUUUGAUAAGAAAGAUGAAUCUUUUGUUGGUCUACCACUAAGUAAAGAGGAAAAUGAGUUGGAAAUAAGUAAACAAUUAAAGAAAAUAUGACUAAAAUGGGGUUUACAGAAUAUAGAUUAUGAACAUGAAUAGACACUGAAUAAUCUAAAAUAUAAAGAUAGAGCUGGAAAUCAUAGUGAGCAGAUUGGAAGUGAAGGAACAUUCUAGAGAGAUGUUGCUCCUGCAUCUGUUCAUUCUGAAAUUACUGACAGUAACAAAUGUCAGAAGAUGUUGGAGAAGAUGGGUUGGAAAAAAGGAGACGGCCUGGGGAAGGAUGGUGGGUAAUGAAAUCUCCGAUUUAGCUUCAGCUUCAGUGAACAUAUGGAGGCUUGGGGACAGGCAAUCCAUCCUCAAUUGAAGACGUUCAGCUUCUCUGAAACAAAAAACAACCUGGGACAAAGCGUGAGAGAGGUUUGCUGAAAAUUUCCCAGAAACCAAACCUUAAAAAGAUGACCUAGGUACCAGGCCUUGGAUAAAAGGAACU